GGUGGCUCAGUGGUAGAGCGCUUGCCUCGCAUGCAUGAGUUCCUGAGUUCAAUUCCUCAACACCA
rnacentral:tRNA from 1 species